rnacentral:tRNA from 1 species
UAGCUCAGUGGUAGAGCAUUUGCCUAGCAUGCACAAGGCCUUGGGUUCAAUUCUCAG